rnacentral:rRNA from 1 species
UACGGAGGGUGCAAGCGUUAUCCGGAUUCACUGGGUUUAAAGGGUGCGUAGGAGGGCAGGGAAGUCCGUGGUGAAAUCCUAGAGCUUAACUCUAGAACUGCCGUGGAUACUCUCUGUCUUGAAUCCCGUGGAGAUGAGCGGAAUAUGUCAUGUAGCGGUGAAAUGCUUAGAUAUGACAUAGAACACCAAUUGCGAAGGCAGCUCGUUACACGAAGAUUGACUCUGAGGCACGAAAGCGUGGGGAGCAAACAGG